GGACCCGUAGUGUAGCGGCCAAUCACACUGCCCUGUCAAGGCAGAGAUCGCCAGUUCGAAUCUGGUCGGGUCCGCCA
rnacentral:tRNA from 1 species